AGCUAAGUUACCAAGUUAAAGUCGCUAUGGAUUAUAAUGCAAAGAUAGAGCGGUGUAAAAAAGCUAACGAGCAGCUACGUAGAGAAGCUAGUGUUAACAGAAUACUAGUAUCAGAAGCUAUCAAGUUGUUAAUUGAGUACACUCAACAAACGCCAGAUCCUCUACUGUCGCCGGGGGACAAGCGCAAUAACCCUUUCAUUGAAAAGAAGAGUUGCAUCAUCUUAUAAACGGAGACAGGGUUCAGAGGUCGAUAGUUUCUACGUUUAGGAAACCUGGACUCUAUUUCUACCCCUGACGUUCACGUCCUGCUAGAGUUCAAUCUUACUUACCCUUCGCUGGACAAAGCUGUGUUGUAGUGGUCACCAAUAUAGCUGGUUACUGGCUCUUUUACCGGCUGGUUACUGGCUCUUUAACCGGCUGGUUAAUUACUCACUGGCUGAUAGCGAUUACAAUUCUUACUACCACUCAGUUGGCAUUACUUCUCUACACUGAAACUGACUUUUCGAUGCAUUAAAUAAACUGAUAUGAAUAAGUAUUUAUUUAAGCUAUUUAAAUUUAUUUAAAUUGCUAUUUGAAAAUUAUGUAUCCUAGAAAUAAUAAUUGUGCGAUCAUACUUGAUACUGAUUACUCACAAUAGUCUGGAAAGCUAGGUAACCAUGGUAACCUGUAAACUCCUGGCUUUCCCCCUAGAAAAUUUAUACUUUUGUUGACAUCUCCUUUCGUUUUGUUAACAUACCAAUUUGUAAAGUUCAUAAACAUUUGAUUUCGCAUGCAAAAAGAAGGUAUAAUUUGAUAUUUGAAAAAGUGCACUGGGUCAGCUAAUGAUCUGUUAGCUUGCCUGGUGAGUGCAGUGUAAAUAAUAUUUACCUGGUGAGUGCAGUGUAAAUAAUAUUUGUGGACGGGAUUGCCUGUACGUGUUCCUUUAUAUUUGUUAGAUUUCUAGCUAUGUUUUUACAAUAAUCUCUGUUUGAUUACAUAUUUAGUACACAUUAUGUACCAAUCUACCUUACUCGCUGCUUAGAGCACAUGCUUUGCUGUUUUCAAAGGAGAAAAUACACGUUAAUCAUGAUACUUUCAACAUCGUCCUUUGUUUUCAUUAAUUCGUACCUUUGGAAAUGCUUUAUUGUAUAUUCAAAGGUCUCAAAUAGAUUUUAGAGAUUUUACAAUCGGUUACAGUCACUGCAAAAGUGUUCCUAAUAUAUGUUCUACUAUCUUGAAAUUAGGCUGGUUUAUUUGAACACCAUUGAAAGCUCACUUAUUUUAAGAGCGAUGGGAGGUUAUCUCUAUAAGAUCUGGCUGUAUCACCAACAAUUUGCUUCAAUAA